CCUACGAGUGGCAGCAGUGGGGAAUAUUGCACAAUGGGGGAAACCCUGAUGCAGCGACGCCGCGUGGGUGAAGAAGUACUUCGUUAUGUAAAGCUCUAUCAGCAGGGAAGAAAAUGACGGUACCUGAAUACGAAGCCCCGGCUAACUACGUGCCAGCAGCCGCGGUCAUACGUAGGGGGCAAGCGUUAUCCGGAUUUAAUGGGUGUAAAGGGAGCGUAGACGGCAGUGCAAGUAUGGAGUGAAAGGCGGGGGCUCAACCCCCGGACUGCUCUGGAAACUGUACGGCUGGAGUGCAGGAGAGGUAAGUGGAAGUCCUGGUGUAGCGGUGAAAUGCGUAGAUAUCAGGAGGAACACCAGUGGCGAAGGCGGCUUACUGGACUGUAACUGACGUUGAGGCUCGAAAGCGUGGGGAGCAAACAGGAUUAGAUACCCCAGUAGUC
rnacentral:rRNA from 1 species